AUGGCGCGAUGCGUAUGGGCAUUGGGUGAUGAAGAGCUCCUCGAGCAUGUGAUAUCAAACCAGAACACUGAUGCACGUCUAUGGCUGUUUUGGCUGUUCGAAUCAACAAGCCAACGUGAUUUAACUCGGGUUCUAGUGACAAUGUGGGCAAUUUGGUGGGCGCGCCGAAAAGCAAUCCAUGAGAACGAGUUUCAAAGCCCUUUGUCAACCAUGAGUUUCAUCAGGCUCUUCUUGGAGGAUUUGGAUAUUGUUGAAUCCCAAAAGUCGCGACCGGUGCCGCUGCCUGCUGCUCCGAGAGCACGUACAUGGCUGCCGCCCGAGGGUGAAGCGGUGAAGUUUAACUGUGAUGGUGCAUUAUCAAUCCUAGGCGAUAAGGGAGCGGCGGCCGUGAUUUGUCGAGACAAGUCAGGGAAGUUUCUUGGAGCAUCAGCACUAGUCUUUGAGGGCUUGAUCGACCCGGCGAGUUUGGAGGCGCAUGCGUGCAGUGAGGCACUUGCCCUUGCUCGCGAUCUGAAUGUGCAGGAGUUGGUGAUCGCGUCUGAUUGUUUAGAACUGGUCUCAAAUAUCAACACACAAGCAUCACCAGUGUAUGCGCCUAUUCUGCAGGAUAUACACAUUAGCAUGAACCUUUUCGCUUCAGUUAUUUUUCGUUUUGAGCGUAGAGAAAAUAAUUUCGAGGCCCACUCGGUUGCAAAAGGAGCCGCGUCUCUGCCGGUGGGCCGCCACGUGUGGCUAGGGAUCCUUCCUGAUAUUGCUUGUAUUCCGAAUGUGAUGAACUUUGAAAAAAGCUUGUAG
rnacentral:rRNA from 1 species